AACGAACGUUGGUGGGAUGUCUUAAACAUGCAAGUCGAGCGGCAGCACUACGGGUGGCGAGCGGCGAACUGGUGAGGAACACGUAGGUUAUCUGCCCCUUAGACUGGGAUAGCUCCUGGAAACAGGGAUUAAUACCGGAUAUGAGGCAACUUGAAAGCAGCGUUUGCUGCACUGAGGGAUGAGCCUGCGUCCCAUUAGCUUGUUGGUGGGGUAAUGGCCUACCAAGGCGACGAUGGGUAGCCGGCCUGAGAGGGUGAUCGGCCACAUCGGGACUGAGAUACGGCCCGG
rnacentral:rRNA from 1 species